rnacentral:rRNA from 1 species
CGUGUAGGCGGUUUGCCGAGUCAGGCGUGAAAGCCCCGGGCUUAACCUGGGAACUGCGUUUGAUACUGGCAGGCUAGAGGUUGGAAGAGGAGAGUGGAAUUCCCAGUGUAGAGGUGAAAUUCGUAGAUAUUGGGAAGAACACCAGUGGCGAAGGCGGCUCUCUGGUCCACACCUGACGCUGAGGCGCGAAAGCGUGGGGAGCAAACA